CCAUGUUAGGAUUGAAAUAAGACUGAAACAAGGGCAGAGAAAUCAACAUUUGAAAACACAAUCAACUAUAUGUAGUAUUUUAAUAAUGACAAUAACAUUAAAAACAGUUUAGAAAAUGUUGUGGGAAAUAUUUUUUUAAAAAGAGGAUGUGACAUGCUCCUGCUCUUGUGCCUCUCCCUGGUGGUCUGGCCGGCCAUGCACUGGCAGGCAAUGGUCUACCUGUUUUUAUCUCUUGGAGACUCUGACUCAGAACUCCACAAUCUCUCCACCCAUCUCUCUAGGUUCCCACUGGUGGUCAUUACCACGCCAACCCAGAGCUUCAAAUCCCCCACAGCCUUUGUGGUGCAUAUCUGGCAAACCCACACUUUGUACCAUACCUUUCUCCCUUAAACCCAAAUGAGCCGCUGUGUGAAGGAAACCACAACACAAACUUAGUUCAGAAACAAUGGUAACUCAAUCUCUGGGAGCAACAACUAAAACCCAAUCUUGUAAGCCUUAUAAAAAUCUAAUUCCUCUGGUGGCGAAUCCUUGCGGAUCUACCAUGAUAGUGGGAAACUCUAGCUGCUACAGCUUACCUUUUGCAGUCUUGUUCCAAUGAGGAGUUAACUCUCUCCUGCUACCUCUCUUCCUCCCUCCAACCCGGAAGUCCCUCCUACUUACCCAGUGAUUGGCUCCUUUAUUCAUUCGGUGAUUGGGUCACAAGAAUAGCAGCACCAGGCUCAUCCACAACAAGAAAAAGAUUAUUUUCUUUUUAUUUAGUUUUGUUAAUUUUUUCCACAUAACAUUUUUACUGAUUCUCUGAGAAAGUUGCAUCACGCACCCCAUAACGAUCCUUUCCCAGUCUUUCCAUGUCUGCCUCACUUUUUGUGACCGACUCCCAAAGAAGUAAAAAUAAAAACAGGUCUACUUUGUGCUUUCUAUAUACUCAUUGGAGCAUGGUCAAACUUUCCGUGGCUUGUCCUUUAAAUAGAACUGAGUUUCCCCCAUCCCACACCUCUGCUAGAGGCCAUCAAUUGUGUAGAGCUACUCUUCAGCAUCUUUAUCAUCUCUAAAAGUUGUCUUUGGUAGCUUCCUGUCUAAGCCAUUACUUUUUUAGCGGGGUGUGCUCUAAGGAUAAGGGUUUGUCACAGCAGCCUUCCAUGUCUUUCUUUUCUUCUUAACUGUGCAUCUGCAGUCAUCAAUAGCACAGAAAAAAGUAGCCUCGUUGCUAUUCCCAGUCCAUGGAAGCACGGAUCAUGGACAGCUACAAGCUUUCUGGUGGCAGCACUGACCAUGAACAAAGCCUCCUGCUACAGUAGGACCAUGAAUGCAGACAAGACCCUUGGAGGAUGCCUGGCAGACACCACACUUCAACAUGGCUUCAGGGGGUAAUGCAGGCCACCCACAUCAAUAAGGACCCUGUGAGCAUCACGGCUUAUGGACAUUGAUGUGACUUUAGGCUGCACUAGAGACCACAGACAUCUUCAUGGCCUUUGGUAAUAAUUCAGGCCAUAGACAUCAACACUGAGCCCUGAUACAGUAGAACCACAGACCAAGGCAUGGCCCUCUGUAGCAGCAAGGACCUGGACAUGGCCAUGGACUCAGAAGUCAGUGAAGUAUACUUACAUCAAUAUGGUCCCCAGCAGCAGGAUGGCCUACGGACAUGGAUGUGGCUUCAAGCUUCAGCACAGACUGGGGACAUCUGCAUGGCCCUUGUGGUAGCGUGUCACAAAUAUCAUCCCAGCUCCCAACAGAUAUGCUGUCUUUUCUGCUGUGUGCCCAACCGCCAGUUUGGUUUAUUUUUAUUUUUACAUAUUUUAAAAUAAAAUAGUAAUUAC
rnacentral:lncRNA from 1 species